GAGUGCCAUUUUGCAAAGAGACUGGAGAAAACACUCAUUCACUUCACAAAUUGUUGACAGGCAUGUAAUAUUCUAGUUUCAGAGACAUAUUAUAAAAUUAGGAAGGAAAAAAUUUUCAGUUAAAAACCUCAAAGAGAAGUGACUGGCUUUUCAGUAAUCGGGAGUGGGGGAGUUCCAGUCACAAGGAUCAGCUGGUGCAAUGGCAGUAAGAAGCUAGAAGGAAGGUUUGUAUGGCUGGAGCAGACAGGAUAUGAGGCAGAUCAUGUAAAACUUGCUACUCUGCAAAGCUUCAAGGUGGAAGCAGAGAGAUCAGUUCAGUGAAAACACUAGUCUGACAGCCUAGAUUGGAGUGACAGCACACAAAUGAUCAGGAAAUACUGUUAGCCUCGGUGGUACAAUGUCUCUUUCUGUCACAC